rnacentral:rRNA from 1 species
AGGGUUUGAUCAUGGCUCAGAUUGAACGCUGGCGGCAUGCCUUACACAUGCAAGUCGAACGGCAGCACGGGAGCUUGCUCCUGGUGGCGAGUGGCGAACGGGUGAGUAAUAUAUCGGAACGUAUCCAAUAAUGGGGGAUAACUAGUCGAAGGAUUAGCUAAUACCGCAUACGCCCUGAGGGGGAAAGCUGGGGAUCUUCGGACCUAGCGUUAAUGGAGCGGCCGAUAUCUGAUUAGCUAGUAGGUGAGGUAAGAGCUCACCUAGGCGACGAUCAGUAGCUGGUCUGAGAGGACGACCAGCCACACUGGAACUGAGACACGGUCCAGACUCCUACGGGAGGCAGCAGUGGGGAAUUUUGGACAAUGGGCGCAAGCCUGAUCCAGCCAUUCCGCGUGAGUGAAGAAGGCCUUCGGGUUGUAAAGCUCUUUCGCAAGGGAAGAAAACUUAACCUCUAACAUAGGUUGAGGCUGACGGUACCUUGAUAAGAAGCACCGGCUAACUACGUGCCAGCAGCCGCGGUAAUACGUAGGGUGCGAGCGUUAAUCGGAAUUACUGGGCGC